UACGGGGGGUGCGAGCGUUGUCCGGAAUCACUGGGCGUAAAGGCGCGUAGGUGGUUUGAUAAGGGUGUGGUGAAAGGCCCGGAGCUCAACUCCGGGUCUGCCGUGCCGACUGUCAAACUCGAGGGCUGUAGAGGCAGACGGAAUUCCGGGUGUAGCGGUGGAAUGCGUAGAGAAUCCGGAGGAAGACCGGUGGCGAAGGCGGUCGCUGGGCAGUUCUGACACUGAUGCGCGACAGCGUGGGGAGCAAACAGG
rnacentral:rRNA from 1 species